AUUGAACGCUGGCGGAAUGCUUUACACAUGCAAGUCGAACGGCAGCACGGGUGCUUGCACCUGGUGGCGAGUGGCGAACGGGUGAGUAAUGCACCGGAACGUAUCCAAUAAUGGGGGAUAACGCACCGAAAGGUGUGCUAAUACCGCAUACGCCCUGAGGGGGAAAGCGGGGGAUCGUAAGACCUCGCGUUAAUGGAGCGGCCGAUGCCGGAUUAGCUAGUUGGUGAGGUAAAGGCUCACCAAGGCGACGAUCCGUAGCUGGUCUGAGAGGACGACCAGCCACACUGGAACUGAGACACGGUCCAGACUCCUACGGGAGGCAGCAGUGGGGAAUUUUGGACAAUGGGCGCAAGCCUGAUCCAGCCAUGCCGCGUGAGUGAAGAAGGCC
rnacentral:rRNA from 1 species